GAUUAACGCUGGCGGCGUGCAUAACACAUGCAAGUCGAACGAUGAAACUUAGUAGACUUCUUCGGAAAGACACUAAGCGGAUUAGUGGCGACCGGGUGAGUAACGCGUGAGUAACCUGCCUUACACAAGGGGAUAGCCUUUGGAAACGAAGAAUAAUACCCUAUCAAACCAUAAAAGCACAUGCUAGAAUGGUCAAAGUGAUAGCGGUGUAAGAUGGACUUGCGUCUGAUUAGCUAGUUGGUGAGAUAAAAGCUCACCAAGGCAACGAUCAGUAGCCGGCUUGAGAGAGUGUACGGCCACAUUGGGACUGAGACACGGCCCAGACUCCUACGGGAGGCAGCAGUGGGGAAUUUUGCACAAUGGGGGAAACCCUGAUGCAGCGACGCCGCGUGAUUUAGAAGGCCUUCGGGUUGUAAAAAUCUUUUGUAUAGGAAGAAAAUGACAGUACUAUACGAAUAAGGUCCGGCUAAUUACGUG
rnacentral:rRNA from 1 species